GUGGGGAAUCUUCCGCAAUGGACGAAAGUCUGACGGAGCAACGCCGCGUGAGUGAUGAAGGUCUUCGGAUUGUAAAACUCUGUUGUCAGGGACGAAUGUGCGAAUGUUGAAUAAGCAUUUGUAUUGACGGUACCUGACGAGGAAGCCACGGCUAACUACGUGCCAGCAGCCGCGGUAAUACGUAGGUGGCAAGCGUUGUCCGGAAUUAUUGGUCGUAAAGAGCAUGUAGGCGGGCUUUUAAGUCCGACGUGAAAAUGCGGGGCUUAACCCCGUAUGGCGUUGGAUACUGGAAGUCUUGAGUGCAGGAGAGGAAAGGGGAAUUCCCAGUGUAGCGGUGAAAUGCGUAGAUAUUGGGAGGAACACCAGUGGCGAAGGCGCCUUUCUGGACUGUGUCUGACGCUGAGAUGCGAAAGCCAGGGUAGCAAACGGGAUUAGAAACCCUAGUAGUCC
rnacentral:rRNA from 1 species